rnacentral:misc_RNA from 1 species
GAACGCACAUUGCGCCCGCCAGUACUCUGGCGGGCAUGCCUGUCUGAGCGUCAUUUCAACCCUCGCACCCGGCUUCUGUCGGGGGCGGUGUUGGGGAUCGGCCUCCCGUCUGACGGGCGGCCGGCCCCUAAAUGGAGUGGCGACCACGCCGUAGCCUCCUCUGCGUAGUAGUGAAACACUCGCGGGCGGAGAGCGGUGCGGUCCGCCGUAAAACCCCCAACUCUUUCUAAGGUUGACCUCGGAUCAGGUAAGGAUACCCGCUGAACUUAAG